UCCCCAGAGGGGUUUGCCCUCCUCUCCUCCUGCACUGCCAGCAUUCCUCCUGGAGUGGCUGAGCCAGGUGGCAGUGGGGCAGGCAGAUGACUCCAGCAUGGGCUCCAACUCAUGUCUCCAACACCAUCACCUCCAGCACUUUCCCUCCUCAUGGCACUCCUGAAGUUGAUGUCCCCCAGGACCCCAACUUCACAUGAGCACCUGAAUUCAAGGAAGCAUCAGUGGGACAGGCUGAAGAUUGCUCUAAGAGCUGUUUCCAUAGCUCGAAAGACCAAAAAUUAUAAUUGCAACAGGUCCAGGAGCAGAAAGAGGAAGUAUAAAGCUUUAAAUUCUAGUCACACUGUGGAAGAAAUAACAGAUGUGCUGCUGUGCUGGAGACGUUUCCAGGCUGAACCCCUCCGCACCCCUCCCAACAUCAGUAUUCUGCUUGUUGUCCCCACCGGCCAGCAUGAACUGCCCUGAUGUCUUCUUGCUGUGAAUUCAUGCCUUCGUGAGCACCUCCUCCAUCUCAUUCUGUAGCCCUCGAGCCAGCCCCAAAGCAGAGAGCUUGUCCUGAGCUGCAUCCUGCUUCUCGUCCCCUGCGGGGCUGGGCAGCCUCUGGCGAAUUGCAAAGCUGAUUUUCUGAGCACUUGUUUAGCAGGAUCUUCAGCAAGCUUUUGGAAAGGAAUAAAUACUCACGAGGCUUCCAAGAGGGACAUUCCCGAAGCCGGUGCUGUGCAGCAGGCUUAGCGUAUUUUGCCUUUCCUGGCUCAAGCACUCACAGGGCACUGUUCCCCUAUAGAAUCAUCUCUUAGCAUUGCCAGCCUCCACAAUUUUGCACAGAAAUGGGACCAGAAGUGCUGUGCCUGGACACGAGAAGAUCUCUUGUGAGUUUUUCUUGGUCAAGGUACCUAUACAUAUGGAACAGCCUAAGCCAUCAGCAUCUCAAUGUUAGAUGACCUUUGUGUGCUAAAUUUUAUUAAAUCCUUCAGCAGAUCUAGUCAAAUCAAACUCCAGGUCCUCAAAGCUUCAUCCUUUCCACAGAAUAAUGACACCAUAGCACAACUUGUGGAGCCAUGUUGUUCUUUGUCCAUAAUAAUUGAGUAGGUCUUGGAGACGCCAGAUUAGGAAGUGCUGUCCAGGUUAGUCGUGGCUAAAAUGGAAAGCAGUGAUUGGAAAGCAGUGCUUCCAAAAUGGAAGCACUGAUGUUCAUUAUCAGUUUUAGUCUUUGCUGCCAUGGAACAGUGCUAGUGGGAGCUGUUGUUAUCUCAUUACUUUAAAAUGUACUUCCAGAGUGAAGUGCUUAAUUUAUCCCUCCCUUCCCCUUUCCCAUAUUGGUAUAAUACCAAGGUUUCACCUGUGGUUCUGUAGAACAGCUCUUCCCUUUUGGGUUUUCUCAGCAUGCUUGUUUUUAAUU
rnacentral:lncRNA from 7 species